rnacentral:rRNA from 1 species
UGACGAGCGGCGGACGGGUGAGUAAUGCAUAGGAAUCUGCCCGGUNGUGGGGGAUAACCUGGGGAAACCCAGGCUAAUACCGCAUACGUCCUACGGGAGAAAGGGGGCUC